AAAUUGAAGGGUUUGAUCAUGGCUCAGAUUGAACGCUGGCGGCAGGCCUAACACAUGCAAGUCGAACGGUAACAGGAAGCAGCUUGCUGCUU
rnacentral:rRNA from 1 species